rnacentral:rRNA from 1 species
UACGUAGGGGGCAAGCGUUGUCCGGAAUUAUUGGGCGUAAAGCGCGCGCAGGCGGCCUUUUAAGUCUGAUGUGAAAUCUUGCGGCUCAACCGCAAGCGGCCAUUGGAAACUGGGAGGCUUGAGUACAGAAGAGGAGAGUGGAAUUCCACGUGUAGCGGUGAAAUGCGUAGAUAUGUGGAGGAACACCAGUGGCGAAGGCGACUCUCUGGUCUGUAACUGACGCUGAGGCGCGAAAGCGUGGGGAGCAAACAGG